GUGAAUCAUCAAAUCUUUGAACGCAAAUUGCGCCUUUUGCUGAAGGCAUGGCUGUUUGAGUUCACCAUUUAACAAAUAAUGUGCAGCGUGGUGGGUAUAGAGUACUUGCACACGCUGUUGAUCUUGCCAAGAAUUUUAAAUUUUGGGUGGCGCAUAAUGAACAGCGUGAAAGUUUUUUUCAGUUCGAGUGUAGUAAAAUCGUUGCUUGGGUUAUGAAAAAACAUAAUCUCGCAAUGGGGGUGGCAGUUU
rnacentral:misc_RNA from 1 species